rnacentral:rRNA from 1 species
AUACGUAGAUGGCAAGCGUUAUCCGGAAUGACUGGGCGUAAAGGGUGCGUAGGCGGUUGUUUAAGUCAGAUGUUAAAAUCCCGGGCUCAACCUGGGAACUGCAUUUGAUACUGGACGACUUGAGUGCAGGAGAGGAAGGGGGAAUUCCUAGUGUAGCGGUGAAAUGCGUAGAUAUUAGGAGGAACACCAGUGGCGAAGGCGACUUUCUGGACUGUAACUGACGCUGAGGCACGAAAGCGUGGGGAGCGAACAGGAUUAGAUACCCUGGUAGUCCACGCUGUAAACGAUGAAUGCUAGGUGUGGGGUGUCAAAGCUCUGUGCCGCAGUUAACACAAUAAGCAUUCCGCCUGGGGAGUACGGCCGCAAGGUUGA